rnacentral:RNase_P_RNA from 1 species
UGGGCUGGUGAGACAGCUGCGUUAGCGCCGGUUUUACCUGCGCUACCGAGGAACGUCCGGGCUCCGCAGGGGAGAACGGUGGCUAACGGCCACCCGGGGUAACCCGCGAGAAAGUGCAACAGAGAGUAGACCGCUGCGCUGAUUUUUUCGGCGCAGUAAGGGUGAAAGGGUGGUGUAAGAGACCACCAGCGUUUGUGGUGACACAGGCGGCUAGGUAAACCUCGUUCGGAGCAAGACCAUGUAGAGCACGCUAUUAGGCGCCCCGCUGAAAGUGCUCGGGUAGGUUGCUAGAGCUUAUCCGGUAACGGUAAGCCGAGAUAGAUAGCUGUCACGGUGACACCCGCGGGUGUCACCGCACAGAACCCGGCGUAUGAUCUAGCCCACAUC